UUGCAAUCAAGUAGAUAGGACAUGCUUUCAGUUUUCGGUUUGAGGGACUAUUUGUGGGAAGUACGAGGGAUCAUUCAUCGACGGUUCAAGGGACUCCAAAUACGAUCUACAUCAGCACGUUCUUCUUCCGCUGCAACUCGGUGACGGUAAGCAUCCUGAUCGCAACCCGUUAUACAACUUCAUAUUGAUCUUGGGUGAUCGUAGGUGCAAUUUUUUUUCUAGUAUGUUUCCCAACAAAGACCCCCUCUACCUAGAAAGCCUCAGAGUUAUUCAUGUAAUUUUUCACGGACUAGAGUCCAUCGAUGUAGAAGGCGGUCUGGACACUAGUCUCACCUUUGAAGGAAGCUGUUAGCCAGCAUCAAUAUUACAUAUUAGUCUUUAAUUGCGAUCUUUAGUCAUGAUUUGAAGCAAUAAAUACGUGAGUCACCGGAAGUGAUGGACAGAGAGAAUGAAAGUAUUGAUGAAGAUAGCAUGCCAACAGUAAUUUAUUAGAUACAUAAGUAAAAUAACCAAUAUAAUUUAGUAAUAUAUAUCCUAGACAUGGUUGUUCCUCAACUGAGAAAUAAAUAUUCCACAUUGAGUGAGAAUUAGUCCUCAUGAAAAAGAUAAAGAUAUGUCCGGGAUUGGUUUUGACGUAAAAAUAUAUAAUCAUAAUAAUACAAGAAUACAUAGUGUAAAGGGAAAACAAAUGCAAGAUAUACCAACAUCGAUUAAAUGGAUGAUUCAUGAAAGAAGCCAUAUGAGAAACAUCUAUGCAAAUAUUAUUGUUCCACGAUUGAGAAAUAAUUAUUUAAGACCGACUGAGAAAUAGUCCCUUAAUAAAAUAUACAAUUUAAUGCGUGGCACUAAUUUUAAAGUAACGAGAUAUCAUGAUAUCAAUACCAGUAUUAUAUAUGUAGUGUAAAGAGAAUAAAAGUGCAAAACUUAUCAACAUUAGUUAGUAGAUAAUAAAUGCAAGAAAUGACAACAUCUAUCAAAGAUAUGAUUGUCCUUUGAUGAAGAAAUAACCAUUACAUACUGACUAAGAUUAAUAGUUCCUCAAUAAAUACAAAAUAUGAUGAUUUGUGUCCCAUUGCUUUUGGCGUAACAAGAUAUCAUGAUAUAAAAUACAAUACAAAUAGUGUAAAGAUAGUACGCAUGCAACAUAUAUCAACAUUAAUUUACUAAAUAACAAAUUUAAUAAACCAUAUGGGAAAUGUUUGUUUAAGAUAUGGCUGUGCCUCUAUAUAAAGCCAACAAACACAGGGAGCUUUGGCAGGAAAGAAACACACUAUAAGAACACAAGGAGCACGAACCUACACAAGUCACCCGCCUCUUCUCCUCAUGGCACCCGUAAAUCGAGGCAACACAAGGAGGGCUAGGUCCAUUGCUUUCCUUGUCCUUGUGAUGGUGUUUGCUUGUACCAUGUCAUCCUGCCAUGCACGAGGUAAGAAAUGUUUGAAAGUGCUAAUCUAGAAUGAUCUUGUCUUGUUGAAUUGCUAAUGAUGAGUACAAUGUUAUUGCAUCUACAGGUGGGGAGCCGUAUUGCAUAAAUUCUCCACUAGGAUGCUCUGAGCCUAGUUGCAUGGAGGAAUGCAAUUUAAUAGACAAGGGUCUUCAUUCCUUCUAUUGUAACCACAUUGGGCAAUGUUGUUGUUGGCCCCUAUAGUUUGAUCGGACACAACCAUUUUGGUUAUGGCUCCAUGACGUCUAAUGAAUCUUGAUUGUGAUUGUGUGAUGCAAUCUCGGGGAAUAAACUCCUUGCAUGGAAUGCGCAUCUCUAUUUGAUGUAGAUGGAAUAAUAUGUUCCUUUAGAAUGUGAUUAGUGGCAUCUGCUGCAAACCAUCUUUCUUUUCUUGUAUGACCAACUUUUCAAUUCAACUCAAUGAUUUAAAAGUAUGAAUAAACAAUCUUUCUACUUGAUUUUCAUUGUAUGGGUCUAUUUCCUAUAGGAAUCAAU
rnacentral:lncRNA from 1 species